ACUCCUACGGGAGGCAGCAGUGGGGAAUAUUGCACAAUGGGCGCAAGCCUGAUGCAGCCAUGCCGCGUGUGUGAAGAAGGCCUUCGGGUUGUAAAGUACUUUCAGCGGGGAGGAAGGCGAUAAGGUUAAUAACCUUGUCGAUUGACGUUACCCGCAGAAGAAGCACCGGCUAACUCCGUGCCAGCAGCCGCGGUAAUACGGAGGGUGCAAGCGUUAAUCGGAAUUACUGGGCGUAAAGCGCACGCAGGCGGUCUGUCAAGUCGGAUGUGAAAUCCCCGGGCUCAACCUGGGAACUGCAUUCGAAACUGGCAGGCUAGAGUCUUGUAGAGGGGGGUAGAAUUCCAGGUGUAGCGGUGAAAUGCGUAGAGAUCUGGAGGAAUACCGGUGGCGAAGGCGGCCCCCUGGACAAAGACUGACGCUCAGGUGCGAAAGCGUGGGGAGCAAACAGGAUUAGAAACCCUGGUAGUCCCAUG
rnacentral:rRNA from 1 species